rnacentral:rRNA from 1 species
UACGAAGGUCCCGAGCGUUGUUCGGAAUCACUGGGCGUAAAGGGAGCGUAGGCGGCGUGGUAAGUCAGAUGUGAAAGUCCCGGGGCUACCACCCCGGAACUGCAUCCGAUACUGCCGUGCUAGAGGAUUGGAGAGGUAGCUGGAAUUCUUGGUGUAGCAGUGAAAUGCGUGGAGAUCAAGAGGAACACUCGUGGCGAAAGCGGGUCCCUGGACACUUCCUGACACUGAGGCACGAAAGCUAGGGGAGCAAACAGG